UGACAUUGAUAGGUGCAUUAUAGGACACUGUCUUUAAAAUAUGCGGAUGGUAUUACGAGAAGUACAGUUUUGACUAGUUUUGAAUGCAUAAAUUUAUACUAUUUUACUCACAUGUUGCUCGUACUGCGUAACAUUUUCUCUUUGUCCCACAGUCGCCAGAAGUCAACAGCACGUUCCCCUCUUUGUGUACGUACACGAACGACCAGCUUCUAUUUUCUUCCUAUUUUCGUGCUCGAUAAUAAAUCUCUCCUGCAUUUUUCUUUCCCUCUCAGAUCUUUUUUCUCUUUUAAACAUCCCUGUAUAUCUCUCUCGCUCUUUCUUGUUUAAUUAUCUUUUGUCUUUUACGACGAAUUCCUCGAUCGUGUUCGGCCUGGAAAGCCGACCUAGCUUCGAAAGUAUAUGCUCGCUCUGUCUCGCUGGUUGCACUGAGAUUUCUCCCAGAUCGUGACGUAUCCCACCAUUAGCAAGUGCGCCACUCGCUGUGUGGAAUGUCGUGUUAAAAUGCGCCAUUUCAACCGACUUUACGUAAGCUCAUACGACCAGACGACCUUGCUUGCUGAUGAUCAAGUGCAAAUUCCCGCGCGCGCUCUUUGUUUACAUAUUGCUGCACAAAUAUUACCUUCCCCUCCCUCC